GGCGAAGAACCAGCUUUUCUGUAACGUGCAUUGGCAAGGCUACCAUUAGGAACGAAAUCAUAGAUGACCAAUUUCUCUUCAGCGCCCCAAUAGAAGCCACGGAUUUUAACCAAAUUUGUGUGCACCAAUUUAGCAAUUAACUUCACUUGAUUCUCGAAAUCUUUGAACCGUUCCACACCACUUUCACCAAUUCGUCGCACCGCCAGUGUAGUACCG
rnacentral:misc_RNA from 1 species